CAGUAGCCACGGUAAAACGUAGGUGGCAAGCGUUGUCCGGAAUUAUUGGGCGUAAAGGGCUCGCAGGCGGUUUCUUAAGUCUGAUGUGAAAGCCCCCGGCUCAACCGGGGAGGGUCAUUGGAAACUGGGAAACUUGAGUGCAGAAGAGGAGAGUGGAAUUCCACGUGUAGCGGUGAAAUGCGUAGAGAUGUGGAGGAACACCAGUGGCGAAGGCGACUCUCUGGUCUGUAACUGACGCUGAGGAGCGAAAGCGUGGGGAGCGAACAGGAUUAGAGACCCCAGUAGUCCCUGUCUCUUAUAC
rnacentral:rRNA from 1 species